UAGUGAUAUGCUUGUUUCAAAGAUUAAGCCAUGCAUGUCUAAGUAUAAGCGAACUUAUACAGUGAAACUGCAGAUGGCUCAUUAAAACAGUUUGAAUUUAUUUGAUGGAUGUACGAGAGUACUACAUGGAUAUCCGUAGUAAUUCUAGAGCUAAUACAUGCAACAACGCCCGACCGCUUGCGGAAGGGUUGUAUUUAUUGGAUACAAAAACCAAACCUGGCAACAGGUUUUCUUUGCUGAUUCACAAUAACUGAUCGGAUCGCGGCCCCGGCUGCGA
rnacentral:rRNA from 1 species